GUAGGUGGCAAGCGUUGUCCGGAAUUAUUGGGCGUAAAGCGCGCGCAGGUGGUUCUUUAAGUCUGAUGUGAAAGCCCCCGGCUCAACCGGGGAGGGUCAUUGGAAACUGGGGAACUUGAGUGCAGGAGAGGAAAGUGGAAUUCCACGUGUAGCGGUGAAAUGCGUAGAUAUGUGGAGGAACACCAGUGGCGAAGGCGACUUUCUGGCCUGUAACUGACACUGAGGCGCGAAAGCGUGGGGAGCAAACAGGGAUUGGAUACCCUGGUAGUCCACGCCGUAAACGAUGAGUGCUAAGUGUUGGGGGGGUUUCCCGCCCCUCAGUGCUGCAGCUAACGCAUUAAGCACUCCGCCUGGGGAGUACGGUCGCAAGACUG
rnacentral:rRNA from 1 species